rnacentral:rRNA from 1 species
CAUGCAAGUCGAACGGCAGCACAGUCGGAGCUUGCUCCGAUGGGUGGCGAGUGGCGGACGGGUGAGGAAUACAUGGGAAUCUGCCCAGUCUGGGGGAUACGUAUGGAAACGCACGCUAAUACCGCAUGCGCCCUUCGGGGGAAAGUCGGGGACCGCAAGGCCUGACGCGAUUGGAUGAGCCCAUGUUCGAUUAGCUAGUUGGCGGGGUAACGGCCCACCAAGGCGACGAUCGAUAGCUGGUCUGAGAGGAUGAUCAGCCACACUGGAACUGAGACACGGUCCAGACUCCUACGGGAGGCAGCAGUAGGGAAUAUUGGACAAUGGGCGCAAGCCUGAUCCAGCCAUGCCGCGUGAGUGAAGAAGGCCCUCGGGUUGUAAAGCUCUUUUGUUGGGGAAGAAAAGCAGUUGGUUAAUACCCGAUUGUUCUGACGGUACCCAAAGAAUAAGCACCGGCUAACUUCGUG